AGAAGCAAUAUUCUACUUACCAUUAUCUUAGCCAUAGUUCUUGCAGGAGCCCUGCCCAAGAAUGUGGUAGAGGCUCAAAAUUGUGGCUGUGCUGCAAACCUUUGUUGCAGUCAAUAUGGCUACUGUGGCACUGGCAAUGCCUAUUGUGGUCAGGGAUGUAAACAAGGGCCCUGUUAUUCAUCGCCUACGCCUACUACCCCUAGUGGGAGUGGUUCUGUUGCUGAUAUUGUUACGCCUGCUUUCUUCAAUGGUAUAAUCAACCAAGCUGCUGCAAGCUGUGCUGGGAAGAAUUUCUAUACAAGAAAUGCAUUUCUCAGUGCUGUCAAUUCAUAUUCUCAAUUUGGUAAACUUGGUUCAGCUGAAGCUUCUAAGCGUGAGAUCGCAGCUUUCUUCGCUCAUGUUACUCAUGAGACUGGACGUAAGUUCCUCUUCCAUCCCUAAUAACAUUUCUCGCAGCAUUCGAAUAUGGAUUUUGUCAACAAAGUGAACUGUCUAAUAAGUGUGUUUCAGAUCCUCGUGUGUAAACUGACAAGAGAAAAUGUCAUAUUUUGCAGACUUCUGCUAUAUAGAAGAGAUAAAUGGUGCUUCCGGUAACUACUGUGAUGAAAACAACAGGGAAUACCCAUGUGUUGCAGGCAAGAAAUACUAUGGCCGCGGACCACUCCAACUAUCAUGGAACUACAACUAUGGGCCAGCCGGAAGGAGCAACAACUUUGAUGGAUUGAACAAUCCUGACAUUGUAGCAAGGGAUGCUGUUGUGUCAUUUAAGACAGCCUUAUGGUUUUGGAUGAACAGAGUUCGUCCUGUUGUAAGCCAAGGUUUUGGAGCAACUAUUCGAGCCAUUAAUAGUAUAGAAUGCAAUGGUGGAAACGCAGGUGCUGUUCAGGCUCGUGUUAGAUAUUAUAGAGAUUAUUGCAGUCAACUCGGCGUUUCUACUGAGAAUAACCUCACUUGCUAAGUUCUUAAAUAACCUGAGUUGUUAUGCCAAGUUAUGGCUAAUCAUAUGAAAAUAAGAUGUAUUGCUAUGAAAUAAAUUGAAGACAAAUAAAGUUUAUAAUUAUCGUUAUGUCUCUUAUAGUUUUUCAGUAAUUUUGAUGUCCCUUUUAUAUUUAUUUUUGUUACUUUGAAAAACCUCCACUUUACGUGGCCAAAAAUUUGUGUUGAAAUUCAAUUUACGCCUUGUACGUAUUUUAUUUUCCAUCAUUUGAGUCCAUUAUGACCAAAAGAUUGUCCAUCCAACCCAAUAUAUUAGCAAUUUGAAAUUGAAAUCACUAUAUGUGUGCAUAUUCAUUUAAUUUAUUCUUCCAUUUCCAUAAUACAUUUUUCAAAUUUAUGUUAAUAUCCAUAGUAGGAUCUACUCUAAUUAAUUACUUCUCGAGUAAAACAAAAAUUUCAUGAUUAUGACAUUUUUUCUUUUUAUGUUUUUUAAAAUGAAAGGUUGUAUUGCCUUGCCUAUUAUGUUUAUAAUACAUGUUCAGCUUACUUUUCAUCUUUCAAAUUUGGUUGAUGCAGAGUGUUUUUUUAAAUGAUUUUUAUUUAAAAAUAUAUUAAAAAUAUAUUUUAUUUUUCAUAUUAGUAUAUUCAAACAAUAAAAAAAAACUUUUUCAAAAACAAAUUAAAAUUUAAAAAAUACAGUUCAACCACACUUCUAAACAACACCGAAGUUAAAAAGAAACUAAGUUGUGGUUUUUUAGAUGUUAAGAGCCUAUUUGAGAACACGGUGUAAACCACAUUCUUUUAAAUUUUAAAAAAAAUUGCUAAAAUUUAUUUUUUUAUGUCUUGAGAUUGUUUUAAUGUGUUAAUGUUAAAAAUAAUUUUAAAAAAUUAAAAAAUAUAUAUUUUUUAAAAAACAACUUUAGACUGCAACAACUAUUGAAAUUUUAAACAGUCCAUAAGAAAUUGAAUUGAAUUGUACUAGGAUCUUUGCCAUGGAAUCACUAUUGGGAUUAUUUAGUGGUUCAAAAUCAUGUUGAGCUAGCCGACGUUGAAAAUCAUCAAUAUUAAUGGAGAGACUUUUCAAAGAAGUUGUCAAGUCCAUUUCUGACAUGAUAGCAAUUAUGGAUUGGGGUCCAUGUCCAUGUACCAACAUUGUAUAGAUCAUGAACCAAGUUUAAUGUCAAAGGAUCGAUUUGCCAGGAAAAAAAAAUUGAAAAAUGAAAAAUUAGGCAACUUGCUGUGAUUUCCUUUUGCUUCCAAGAUAUACGAUAUGGCCGCAGUGUGGUCAAAUAUCUUGGUAGUGUUGAUUAAUGGAGAGCUAAAGCCACAGCCCACCCAUUUCUUAUCCACCUAGCCAGAUGAGGAAGAAACGAUGGCUCCUAUUUUACUUAUUUUUCAGCUGCAAGAGCUGAGUUGUAGUAAGAUGGAAUGAGUUGACAUGACAUGUGUUGGAAUGAGCUGUAUCUAUCCCAACUCGUUGCAUGUUUUGGUUAUAAAAUCUUUUUAAAAGUAUUUCUAAGUUUUUUUUGUUAUAUAUUUUUUUUAGUGUUUUAAAAUUAUUUUGAUGUAUCGAUAUUAUAAAUAAAAUUUAAAAAAUAAAAAAUUAUUGUUUAAAUGUAUUUUUAAAUAAAAUAUAAUUUUAAAAACAAAAUUUAAAUUAGCAGUAAAAACACAAUAUAAAUGUGACAAAACACAGUGAGCUAAACACCAAGAGAAAGAGUGUUUAUCCAACCUAGUUAAAUCUUAGGCGUCGAUUCUGGGCAUCCAUUUUUAUCCUGACUGUUAGCUACAAAAACUAGAAAAAGAAAGGAGCACUAGAAGACGGCUUCAGUUUUAUCUUUUUUCUAUCCUUUCAUUUAUGGUACGUUGAAAGGUUGUCUUCUCUAUGUUAAAAAUAUAUAGGGAAUUGGCUAGUCAACGUCGGCUAUGCCCAUACUGUGCCAUUGGGCGCCACUAUCCUUUCAUUGAUGGUAAUUGACUAUUCAACGUUUUUCUUUUCACAUAGUUGUGGGGUGUCUACUCUUCGAAUGGGGUUCUUCUAGUCCUAGAUAGGAUACUACCUUUUCUUUCGUUAGGAGAUAGGAUUUGGCAGACUUUUCCCUUCAAAUGCUGAAAUAAAUGCUGAAAUGGAUAGAAAAUAAUAUAAAUUAUAUUCUAAAAUUUUAUUUAAUAAUUUAAAAUUUUAGAUUGAAAUGAUUUUUGAUAUAAUAUCAAUACUUUGAUAAUUAAAUGAUCACGAAUUCAAAUCUCACCAUCUGCACUUAUUUGAUAAAAAUUAAGCACAGGGUAAUGUAAACAUGUUUAAAUUUUAAGUCCAAAAGACUUUUACUUGAGAUGACGUGUUAGAGAAUAAUAUAAAUCAUAUUCUGGAACUUUAUUUAAUAAUUUAAACUUUCAAAUUAAAAUGAAAGCUAACAAUGGUAAGCUAACAAUUGAGUCUGUGUCUUUAUGUGGACAAGAUUUCUAUUUUCUUGCCUAACUACAAAGUUUACUUGAAAUGGUAGUGAUUGAUUAUCCUUUCCUAGUUGUUUGAAAAGUAAUACGCACGUGCCAGCAAUGGCCCUGCAGGUAAUGGCGCCACAAAUGGUUUGGGAAAUUAAACUCCUUGCCCUCUCUAGGGCCUAGAUUUGUCUCCGCUGAUAGUGUGCUAAAGAAUUUAAAAGAAUUGGUAUUAGUAUUGUGAGUUUGAAGAAAAUUAGAGAAAUGAAAAAAAAAUGAGGGCGGCUAAAUUAUGGCUCUGUAAUUGGCUCUUCCAUAGACUGUAGUGGUCAGCGCCUUUGGAUUGCAAACAUCUAUGCUUCUAGAAAUCUUGAACUUCCAGUUUGUUAAGAGUUUUUAUCUAGUCACCCACGAUGGUCUGUAAUGAACUGAACAACCUAGUCAUUGAGAAGCCUAUAACACUUUAUGCAAGUCUCCAAGUGAACAAAUUUGCAGAUUAUGCUUGUCUCCUAGCAUUGAAAAUUCCCACGUUCGUAAAGCUUUUGAGGAUACUAUGAAGCUCAUCCCAUAUGAUUCCCAUCUAUCGAGUGCUGUAACAGCACAAUUCAAAGUUAAAACUUCAUGUUGAUUCAAAACAAACUAAUGUUAAGAUAUCCAAAAGCCUUGAAAUGAUUUGAGAAUUUCAAGUGUUAGACAAAAAAUCCACCAUGAGUGAUUGGAUGUUCAAAUAUCUUAUGCACUGCGACAAGGUCGGAUGUUAGAAAUAUGGGUGAAGUCUCCCUCCAGUUUUUAUAAAACACUUUUAAAAAAAAAACAAAUCAUGAGGUUGCCUUCUUCACUCUCGCCUGUAAUAUGGGCUCUCAAAAUUGAAUGUGGAGCUGGAACCAUACGACUCAUUAUCUUCAAGAUCUUCUAAAUCCUUAUUUAUUAAGUAAUGGUCACUUUUGAAACUUCCCUUUACAAAUCUUUAUUCACUAAGUUAUGACAGUUUUGUUCUUGGGCAGAACCUCCUCAACCAUAAUUAAUUCCCCUCUGCCAUAACCAUGUUUUGCGUUGUGAUCUCUAGCCAUAGUAGUUCAGCAACAUUAAAAAAAAGAAGGAACAAUAGGAUAUGAUACCAACUUGCACAAUUUAAACUAAUUAGACUGGGAAUAAAAAAAAAACAUGGGAAGAUAGAAUUCACCAAAAGGGCCAAACAAGAACCCUAGCUACAUUGUUAUUUUCAGAAUAUAUUCCUCCACCAAAAUCUACCUCAUAAAAAUAUUUUCAAUAACUUAAAUAGGUCUAUCUUCUCGAUCAAAAUGGAAAAAAUAAUCUUACAUGGAUAGAAAAAUUAAAAGCUAAAAUUUGAAAUAAAUAAAAACUAAAACUAAAAAAAAAUAGCAAUUUAUAAAUCUAAUUUGAAAGUCUUGAUUACCUCAACGAGCCAAUAUUUCACUAUAGAAUAGAUCUGCAUAAUCUUUUAAUGAAAUUUAAAUGUGAUCUAAUAAUUAAAUAAAAUAUUAUGUUUAUUUUUAUCAGAAAUAUUAUUUGGAGUGACUAAAUCUUUUCUUGGGUUUGAACUUUUUAUUUAAUCCAUAAAUGUAUUUAUUAGGUAUUUUAUAUACUCUGAUUAUUAUUCUUGUACAUUAAUAUUAGGAAUAACCACAAUAAAUAUUGGUAUGGGAAAUUAAACUCCUUAGAAUUACCUUACCCAACUCUGAAGCCCUAGAUGUACAUGGCGUGGUAAAGGAUUUAAAAGAUAUGGUAUUAGUGUAUGGGAAAGAAAUUAAACUGAGAACUUGGCUCUGCCUCGGUGCUCAGUACCAUUCGAUCUCUAACAUCUAUGCAUGCUUCUAGAAAUUUUGAGCUCCUAGUCCGUUCAAAGUUUUUUUAGCAGCCUUCCUUGAUGAUCUAUAUGAACCGAACAAUCAAGUCAUUGAGAAGCCUACAACACUUAGCCUAGUCCCUAACUUUGUGGCGCAUUGAGUGGAAGAAAUUUUCAACGUUUGACUCUAAGUAGUCACUCAUUUACGCUGUUUAGAAUCCAAGUUAAAUUUCCAUGUUGAUAAAAAAAAAAAAAAAACACCAAAGUUAAGAUGGAAAAAUUCGUUGAAUCCGUACUUCAUGAAAUUUUAAUUAUUACAUAGGAAAAUACAUGUCCAAAGUUAAAAACACAUUAUAUUAUUCAAUGAACUGUAAUAUAAAUUGAUAUUUGAAAUAUAAGGUUGUGUUGCACUCAUGAAAUGAAAUGAUAGAAAGAUCUGAUUUAGUGUUAGGUUUUAAGCCAAUAAAAUUAGUUUGAAAGGAUAAUAUUAAUUGUUUUUUAAAAUGAUUUUUUGUUUGAAAAUAUAUUAAAAAUAUAUAUUAUUUUUAUAUCAGGAUAUCAAAAUAAUAUAAAAAUAACAAGAAAAAAUUAAUUUAAAAUAAAAAAAAUUUAAUUUUUUUUUAAAUUCUUUUAAAACCUAAACAAUUUUCUCAGUCUUGUCUUCUAACAUAAAAAAAAUUAUAUAUAUAUAUAUAUAUAUAUAUAUAUAUAUAUAUAUAUAUAUAUAUAUUAUGAAGCCAACAGUAUCAAUCACAUAAUCCAUUAUCUGUCAGAGUCUCGGUACUUGAGGGAUUUGAUCCCAAAUGACACAAGCCUGGUGACUUUACUAAUCAGCUCUUUACUAGGUUUCUUGCGGGUUUUUUUUUAUCAGUAAUCCUUCUCCAAUUUGUCGUCUCAAACUGGUUUUUAAUAUCUAUUUGAUGAUCAAAGAAAAGAAAAGGCCUAAUCAUCUAACAAGUAGUUUUAAUUCUAUUUUUGUAUAUUUUCACUUAAAAUAUAUUAGAGAAUAAUAUAAAUUAUAUAUUGAAACUUUACUUAACAAUUUAAGUUAUUAAAUUGAGAUGAUUUUUUAACAUGGUAUCAAAGUAUUGAUGACCAAGUGAUCACGAGUUUAAAUCUCACUAUCCCUAUUUAUUUGAUAAAAAAUAAACACAUGAUAAUAUGGUAUUGUGGAAGUUUAAAGCCCAAAGAGCUUUCAAUUAAGAGAGUGUGUUAGAGAAUAAUAUAAAUUAUAUCCUGAGAUUUUACCUAACAGUUUAAGCUUAUGGGUUAAGAUGAUUUUUUGAUAGAGUGAAAAUGUGAGCAUAGUAAUAAAUAUCUUCCAAGUUUCAGCGGGUCAACUCAACAACCUACCAAUUAAAUAUUUUAUUUUAUUUUAAAUUGGUUUUUUUAUGAAAAUAAUAUAAAAUAUUUUUAAGAAAAUCAUAUAUCUAGUUUGUAGUUUAUAACUAAGAACGUGAGAUGUCUCUCUUGCCAUCAAGGCAUUUAGAAUUUUCAUAUCUAUCGCUAUAAGGUGCUUUGUAGUUUCAUAAAACUUUGCUUAGUGAACCUCCUUUUGUCGUUAUAAGUCAUCUAAGCAGACCCGUAUUCUACACGCACAAAUAUGUAUAAAAAUCUACAUGCUAUCCUGCUAUAUAUAUGGCCCAAACCAAACCUUAUUUUUCCAUCCAGAUUUUUUACCCUUAAUUAAAUAAAAAAACACCUUGCUUACCUUAUGUUUUUUCUUAACAUGGGAAACAAUGUACUAUCCAUCAUUCUGGCUAUGAUGCUGGCUGUAACCAUGCCGCAGUUGAUAGUGUCUCAAAAUUGUGGUUGUGCUCCCAACUUGUGCUGUAGUCAGUUUGGCUUCUGCGGCACCGGUGAUGCUUAUUGUGGCCAAGGAUGCCGGGAGGGACCUUGUACCUCAGCACCUAGUACCCCUAGCACGCCUAGUAACAAUGAUGUUACGGUGGCUGGUGUUGUUACACCGGAAUUCUUCAACGGUAUAAUCAAUCAAGCCGGGGGAGAUUGUGCCGGGAAGAGCUUCUACACACGAGAUGCGUUUCUCAGUGCCCUCAAUUCUUAUUCUCAGUUUGGCAAGAUUGGAUCAAAUGACGAUUCCAAACGUGAGAUUGCAGCAUUUUUUGCUCACGUCACGCAUGAGACCGGACGUAAGAUCUCUUAAAUCUCAUCUAUAUAUAUAUAUAUGUAUAUUGUCACACAUCACACCUUCAGUAAACAACAUAAUAAUAAUAAUAAUAAUAAUCAUAUGGCAGUUAAAAACUUUAUUAACAUGCAUACAAACUUGGAAAUGCUAUAGUUGUUUGAGAAUGAUCGUUAUGAUAUGAACACAAGCAUAACCAUACAUCUCAAAGUUAACAAAUGGAUGUGUUUUGCUUGGUUUACAGACUUCUGCUACAUAGAAGAAAUAAACGGUGCCUCUCAGGACUACUGUGAUGAGACCAAUACACAGUAUCCAUGCAACCCGAACAAGAAAUACUUUGGCCGUGGACCUCUUCAACUAACAUGGAAUUACAAUUACGGGGCGGCUGGAGGGGCAAACAACUUUGAUGGACUAAACUCUCCUGAAACUGUGGCCAAUGAUCCUGUUGUGUCGUUCAAGACUGCCUUAUGGUUUUGGAUGACUAAUGUCCGCCCUGUGGUCACUCAAGGGUUUGGUGCAACGAUUAGAGCCAUUAAUGGUGCAGUUGAAUGUAAUGGUGGAAAUUCUGGUGCUGUUCAAGCUCGAAUUGGGUAUUACACAGAUUAUUGUAACCAGUUUGGCGUUGCACCUGGCGACAAUCUAAGCUGUUAGGUUACAUUAUGCAUAUUAUAGUAUAGCAAAGAAAUGAAAUGGAAUCUACCUUCUGCCAUUUCUCGAAUGUAAGGUGGGAUACCCAGUGGUGUUCUGUAACUCUCGAUCGAGUUCGAUGUAUUUCUUGGAAUGGAUUUUACCAAUAAAUAAAUGAAAUAAAGGCAUCACAUAAUUGAUUUUGCUUAUCAUGUAUUUGCUGGCUUAAUUCGUUGUUAUGUUCAUUGCAAUUGCAAGUUUCUUGUUUAGUUUUUUUUUUUUAUUUAUAAUCUUUAAUCUUUAAUCACUAAUGAAAGUUUUGCUCUUGGGCAGAACCUCCUCAACCAUAAUUAAUUCCCCUCUGCCAUAAUCAUGUUUUGCGUUGUGAUCUCUAGCCAUAGUUGUUCAGCAACAUAUAUAUAUAUAUAAAAAAAAAAAAAACAAGGAACAAUAGGAUAUGACACCAACUAGCACAAUUUAAACUAAUUAGACUGGGAAUAAAAAAACAGGGGAAGAUAGAAUUCACCAAAAGGGCCAAACAAAGAACCCUAGCUGCAUUGUUAUUUUCAGAAUAAUAUUCUUCCACCAAAAUCUACAUCAUAAAAAUAUUUGCAAUAAUUUAAAUAACCUCAAUCAAAAUGGAAAAAAUAAUCCUACAUAGACAGAAAAAUUAAAAGCUAAAAUUUGAAAUAAAUAAAAACUAAAACUAAAAAAUUAACAUUUUUAAAAUUUAAUUUGAAAAUCUUUCUAACCUCAACUUAUUACAACGAGACAAUAUUCCACUAUAGAAUAUGCCUGCAGAAUCUUUUAAUGAAAUUUAAACAUGAUUCAAUAAUUAAAUAAAAAAUUAUGUUUAUUUUCAUUAAACAUAUUGUUUAGAGGAACUAAACUUUUUCUUGAGUUUGGAUUUUUUAUGCGAUCCAUAAAUAUAUAUCUGCUAGGUUUUUCAUAUACUCUAGUUACAACAAAUUUAUAUUUGAUUAUGAUUAUUAUUCUUGUAGAUUAAUAUUAGCAAUAACGAACAAUAUUUGUAUGGGAAAUUAAAUUCCUUAUAACUAACUUACCCAACUCUCAAGCCCUAGAUGUACAUGGUGUGGUAAAGGAUUUAAAAGAUAUGGUAUUAGUGUAUGGGAAAGAAAUUAAAAUAAAUUAAGAACUUGGCUCUGCCUCGGUGCUCAGUACCAUUUGAUUUCUAACAUCUAUGCUUCUAGAAAUUUUGAACUCAUAGUUUGUCCAAAGUUUUUUUUAGCAGCCUUCCUUGAUGAUCUAUAUGAAACGAACAAUGAAGUCAUUGAGAAGCCUACAACACUUAUGGCGCGUUGAGUGGAAGAAAUUAUCAAAGCCUACAACACUAAUGAAAUUUUAAUUAUUACAUAGGAAAACCCAAAGUUUACAACACGUUAUUCAAUGAACUGUAAUAUAAAUGGAUAUUUGCAAACAACAUUCUCUCUAUUAUUUUCUAACAUACCAAAGAAAAUUUACGAAGCCAACAUUAUCGAUCGCAUAAUCCAUUAUCUGUCGGAGUCUCGGUACUAGAGGGAUUUGAUUCCAAAUCACACAAGCCUAGUAACUUUACUAAUCAGCUCUCUUUUUAGGUUUCUUUCGAGUUUUUUAUUAGUAAUUCUUCUCCAAUUUGUCGUCUCAAGCUGGUUUUUACUGUCUAUUUGCUGAUCAAGUCAAAGAAAAGAACAUGCAAUUCCCCCUAUUUAUAGGUUAUGGAAGAAGGUAAUAUUUUCUUCACUUUGAGAAAAUUUUCAAUCCUUAAUUCGGAUGGAAAUGAUCACAACCGUUGACUUAAAAUAGGCAGCAUGAACUGUAUAAAUUUGACAGUUAGUGGCUGCUUGAGCUGGCCUCUUUAGGUUGGCACCGCGACCUCUAUGGUGUUAAUCAACCUAAACAGACCAUACCAGGGUGUAAAAGGAUGUCAGGUGAUCAUUUACAUGCAAGUUUUAGUGAAGGUUAGAUGCAUUAAAUGCACCUAUGAAGUUGUUUUUCUAAGCUAUCAUUUCAGUGAAAAUUAAAGAAGAAGAUGAACAAUAACCAAAACAGCGCCAUUUUGGUAACAUUCACUUUAGCCAUUUGAUUUCUAAUUUGUCUCAAUUACACCCUUGAUUGACUUCAAAUUUUUAAUUUUAUGUAAUCUCAUCCCUAGAAAAACCUCAAUGUCAGCCUCGGAUAUCGCAAUGACCGAUUAAAAAUAAUCUAAGAAAAGAAAAGAUAUCAAACAUCUUAAUCUGUGGGGAAAAGGUCUAGUUUAAGGAGUUACCACCUAGUAUUACAGUCAGACCAACCCUAACUGAUCAACAGAGAUUAUAUUGUACGGGACUGGUUACGCGAAAUGAGAGAUAUUAUCACCCCUUAAACGCCUUACUUAAAGCAAACUACAUUGUUGGUUUUGUUUUAAAUUGCUAAGAUUUCGUCUUUGUUCCAUUUUUAAGGUCAUCCUAUAAUAUUCUCAACUCUGACGUAAAUAGUUAUUCCCCUAUAAAUAUUUUCAAUUCUAGCGUUGGUAAAUAUUGUGCAAUCCAUAAAGUACGGUAAUCCUAACUAUGACGUUAGGGAAUGAGUCUGCAAAUUUUAAAUUUUAAAAAAGAAAGAAACAAUUUUUUUAUUUUUUUCUGGCCGGAUCUAGGUUAGCUAUACAGGUCGGGCUUGAUCCAGCUAGCAUGAGCUUGGUCACUGAAAUGCAACAAGCAUACGUCAAUUAUAAUUCACGUAUGCGUGUAUAGCAAGAAUGUAAUUAAAAUGACAAUGGUUAAGGGCCAAGAAUAAAAUUAAAAAUAAAAGAAUAAGAAUUAAAUUUGAAGUAUCAAUAACUAAAAUGACAACAUUGAAAUUCUAAAUGGCUGGUGCGAUUUUCGAGAGAAGAAGAGAGAGAAAAGAGAAAGAAAAAAAAAAACUCACCAACAACAAUUCAUCAUACCACCAUCACCACAUGCCACACCACAAAAAAUAAUAAGAUGUAAAGAUUUCAACAACAUAACGGAAGAGCUUUUUAACCACUGUGACGCAUUGUGCGUGCUAACAGAGGUUAUGGGCGCCUCCCACACGUUGGAGUAUGAAUUGUGUAUAUCAUCAACUUUUCUAUUUUAAUAUUAUUUAAUUUUUAUUAAAAUAUUAAAUUACCAUCAACCAAUUUGAUGAUAACAGAUAAAAAAAAAAACAUAGUAAAAAAACAUAAAAGCUUCUAUAUGCAAGCUUUAGAAAUUUUGCAAGUCUUUUUAUUGCUCUUAAAAUAGUGAAUUGAUGUGAAAGCCCUUAAAAGUUAGUUUCAAUAAUUUUGCUUUGAAGGGUAAAAAAAAUUAAAAAAGACAAGCGGUCAAUAUUAUAAUUAAUAAUAAAUCAUGUACGAAAAGAAAAAAAAAAUCCCCAAUGUAAAAGCCAUUGGUUUUUUUAAGAAGGGUAAAUAGAUAAUUAUACUAUAGCAUAGUAAAUUAUUUAUAUGACAUAGUAUCUUCACCUUUUGUUUUAGCUUUAUCUUGUUUUCUGUUAUAUUGCUAGACAUCUUUUAACCGCAGCUAAUAGUAUUCACAGCAACAAAUAUAACUAAAAGCAACCAAGUAAUCACUACAUAGAUCCUUAAUGUGUUAUUAAAUAUUAUAAGAGAUUUAAAUAAAAAAAAUAUAUAAAACGGUUCAUACACAAAAUUUAUAUGGUUUAAGAGCCACACUUUCUAAAAAAAUUAAUUUUUUUUCUUCAAAUUAAAUAAUACUAUUUGAGAGUAAUUGAGUUUAUCUACUGAAUUUAUCAUGCAAUCUGUUUGCAACGCGAAGCCCCAUGUAUCUCAAGCCCGUCAUAUUAUAUUCCAAAUGAAGGCCCAAAAACGAUGGGCCAUUAUGACGACAGCUGUUCAGCACUUUAUUUAGGCCCCCGUCUUUCAAAUGAAAUGCAAUUACAAUUUCAGGAUGUCUUAGCAACAAUUCCACGACGUCGCAUCCAAUGGUUCUCAGACGCAUGAAGCACAAGGCUAAGCUUCUGUCUUCAAGUGGAAGUCUACACAGCAUAUUGAAGAUGAAUGUGAGGUGGAAUCCCAAGGCUCACUGGACUCUGGAAUCAGACAAGGGAAUCUUCGUUGUUUAACAUCUUCAAAUUCUGUUGUUGAGGCAGAGGUGCACGGAACGUUGAAAACUGGGCAGGCAUUGGGUUUUGGAAUGUUGAGGACUUGCAGGUGCUGGCAACAUCCAUUAGAGGCCAUGUGGACAGAAAGAUGGAAGAUUGGAAUGACGACCAAUAAUGCCAUUUUGCAGCUCGACAGUGGAUGUGUAUUACCUUCUUUCUUAAUGAAGAUCUUAUUCUGGAAUAGUUGUGGAUUGGGUAUGUCUGCUAAGGGGGUAUCGAUUAGGAAUACUAUUCUGCAUAAUGACAUUGAGGUGUGUUUCCUGCUAGGAACUAAGAGGGCAAUGUGCUGUGACAAAUUUGUUCAUGCAUUAUAGAAUAACUUAUCAGUCAAAUGGUUUAAUUAGGCUGGAGGUAUUUUAGCUACGUGGGAUGAAAGGAAGUUCAUGGUUCAUUUAGCCAAUAUCAAACUAGAAUGUGAUGGUGAAGAUAUAAGGAUGUGUUUUGCCAAACACACACUUAUCAAAUAUGGACUAGGCAAGCUGGAUUUGAAGACCAGACUUGGCCGACACUUUUUUUCUUUUUUAUUGGACAAGAUCUAGCCCAGCCACGCACCCUGGGCUAAACCUAGUCAGUCAACCUGGUUAAUGGCUUAAGCCAGUGACCUAGCUGCAGGAAGGAGCAGGCUUACCUGCUUUGUGCAAUAUUUAAUUUUUUGCAAGCAUAAUAACAACAAGAAAAAUGACUUUGAAAAUUUCUUCUUCAAAUUCAAUUUUUUACCUCGUUUAUAAUCCAAGUGUAUUAAAAUGAGAGCUGGGGAAGAAAAAAGACUUACCUAGCUUGCAAAGACAUUGCACGAGAUUGUAAGUGCUAGGUGAAUUUGUAGUGUCAGAGGAAGAAGAAGAAGAAUUGUGCAUGGUUGAAACAGUGUCGUUUUGAACUGGGAAUAAACAAAUUUAAUUAUUUUAUAGUUUUGUAAAAAAAUUUUUUAAAAAUAUUUUUAAAUAAGCGCCGAUGAAAUUACAUACGGUAUUUUUUUGAGAAAAAUAUCGACGAAAUGAAGCGGGUAAUUUUUUUUGCGCUUUUUUCGUUAGUAAAUCCAUCGGUAAUAAUAUUUUUUAUUACCAACGGAUAAAAAAUUACAGAUAAAAAAUUCACCAAUAGAACAUUUUCAUCUGUGAUUCCAUCGAUAAAUUAAUUACUAAUAGAAUAAUAGUACAAACGCCGAUAAAAAAUUACAUCGGUAAAUAUAAAGAUUAUGAUAGUGUAUUAAAGGUUCACCAAGCACGGAGUUUAGAGUAGAACGUGACUAUGUCAAGCCAAGAAUCACUAUCGCCUUUUCUUUUUGACAUAGAUAUGAAGGGGUUAUCUCUUCUAUUUAUAAGAGCUUCCACUUCUGGAUUAUUUAAUUAAAGGAAUCCAUUAUGGAAAUGGGAUGCAUAUUGUUGAAUAAACUCAAUCCAGAAGCUCCCAGAUGGUCAAGGAAGGCAACCACCAGCUGCCACCGACCAGCCACCAACCAACCAGCCACCAGCCGCCAGCCACCAGCUGCCACAGCAGCCAGCCGCCUUCACACUUGAAGGUUGAAUUUUCUUGUUUUGAUUUCGUGUAUAAAUAGAGUGCCCAACCUCUGUUAAAUUGUGUGGAGAGAAUUGAGAGGAACACUAGAAAGAGAAAGAGAGAGAGAGGGCGUGUAAUUGUUAAGCUUUUGUUGUGUAAUUGUAAGCUUCGGUUUUUUGUAAUAAAACAGUGUGUUUUAUCCCCUCUGAGUGUUUCAAAGCCACCACCAGUGGUUCCUCCCACCAACAAUUGGUAUCAGAGCUCCGUUCGUCGGAAAACAGAAGAGUUUUGCGGUAUAUCCGAAUUUUCAAAAUUGUCAAAAACAAGUUUUGAUCAUUCCACAGUGUAGAGCUCAUCAAGACGAACUCACUGCCGCAAAAUCAGCCUCAUCGGAGUCGAGGUAGCCCACACGCGCCUGAAUAUCUGCCAGAUCGCCCACGCGCCCCGAGGUUGAAGACGACUGAGCCAACGCGCGCCAUUUUGAGCCGCGCCGCGCCGUUACGCCGAGUCCUAGCCAAGCCGCAAGCCGAGUCCAGCCGAGCCGAGCCGUCCAGCCCGAAAGAAUAUUCCCUGGAAUAUUCCCGAAUAUUCCCCAGAAUAUUCCCGGUUCAACCCAGCGAACCGCCCGCCAUACAGAAUUGGUUUUUUGACCGGUUCACCCAUUUUCUGACCUGAUUUCAACAAAGUCAGACCGGUUCCCAACUAUUUGGACUAUUCCAGAUCGAUAUACAGUGUCCGUUUGGUCAAAUUCGGCUCCCAGAAAGGUGAUAUAGUCAUUCAAAGAGCAAAAUGACUACAGAAGGUACACAUACACUCAUUCCAAAGCUGACCAAAGACAACUAUGAUAGUUGGUGCAUCAGAUUGAAGGCAUUUCUUGGGUCACAAGAGUGUUUGGAUAUUGUACAAACUAGUUAUGAUGAACCAGAGUCCAAAAAAAGAGAAGAUGCUUUACAAGAGGCACAGAAGCAAGCCCUCAAAGUCAACAGAAAGAAAGACAACAAGGCAAAGACCAUCAUCUAACAAGGUCUUGAUGAAGAUACAUUCGAGAUAAUAGCUUCCGCUGAAACAUCACAUGAUAUAUGGGAGGCUCUCCAACAGAAAUACAAAGGUGCUGACAGAAUCAAGAAGAUUCGUCUUCAAUCUUUGAGAGGAGAAUUGAUUAUUGCAAAUGAAGUCCUCAGAGUCUAUUUCUGAUUAUCACACAAGGAUUAUGGUGAUAGUCAACCAGAUGAGAAGAAAUGGAGAAGCCCUCAUCGAUUCUCGAAUUAUGAAAAAAAUUUUGAGAUCCCUAGAUCCAAAAUUCAAUUUUGUUGUUGUCGCAAUUGAAGAGUCCAAGGAAGUGGACAAGUUGACGGUUGAUGAGCUUAUGAGUUCGUUGCAAGCUCAUGAGCAGAAGAUAGUAAAGCGAAAUGAAGAUAAGGCCAUCGAGCAUGCCUUACAAGCAAAGCUGUCUCUCAAAGACAGAUAUGAGCAAGGGGAGACUUCAUCAAGUGGCUACACCACUCAAGGAGGAAGUCAACAAUCCAGAGGAAGAUUCCAGAGAUUCCAAGGAAGAGGUUCUUGGAAUACAAUCUUUAGAGGAAGAGGUGGCAGAAACACCACCAGAGGAGGCUGAGGCCAACAAGCAUUCACUCCUAGAGGAAGAGGAGGCGGUUACAAUAACCGUGACAAGAGAAAUAUCAAAUGUUAUAGUUGCAAUCAAUUUGGGCACUAUAGCACUGAAUGCCGAUGGAAAGCUCCGUUGGAGAUACGUGAGCAUGCCAACUAUGCAGAGAAGGAUGACAGAGAAGCAUCUGCAUUUCUUGUCCAACAAGAACUUGGCGAGAAACAGGAAAAUAUAUGGUAUCUAGAUACUGGAGCCAGCAAUCACAUGUGCGGCUACCGAGAGUUAUUUGGUGAUCUAGAUGAGACCAAGCAAGGUCUAGUUACUUUUGGAGAUACCACAAAGGUUCCAUUCAAAGGUAAAGGCAGCAUCCCAGUCAAGUUGAAGAAUGGCGAUUCCAGCUACAUCGCCGAUGUGUAUUAUGUCCCAGCCAUAAAGCAGAACCUGAUCAGCUUAGGUCAACUUUUGGAGAGAGGAUAUAGUUUUUACUCGAAGAAUUGUCAUCUGACAAUUAGAGACAACAAUGGGAGAUUAAUGGCCUACGUGAAAAUGUCCAAGAAUAGGAUGUUUCCUUUGAACAUCCAGUAUGAUGCAACAAGGUGUUUGAGUGCCAUCACCAACAGUGAAGAAUGGCUUUGGCACCUGAGGCUUGGACAUCUGAAUUUCACGAGUUGAAGAUGCUAGCAAGCAAGAAGAUGGUCAAAGGUUUGCCUCACAUUGAUCAUCCAGAUGAAGUCUGUGAAAGUUGUGUCCUCAGCAAACAUCACAGAUCCAGUUUUGCCAAAGAAGUCAACUGGAGAGCAAAGAGGCCACUGGAGUUAGUACACACAGAUGUGUGUGGCCUAAUUACGCCUAUGUCGACUGGACAAAAUAGGUACUUCCUCACUUUUACUGAUGAUUUUAGUAGAAAGACGUGGAUAUACUUUCUGAAGAGGAAGUCAGAAGUAUUCAAUUGUUUUAAAGAUUUUAAAGCAAUUGUGGAGAAGCAAACUGGUUACACGAUCAGAACCGUAAGAUCUGAUCAAGGUGGAGAAUAUACAGCAAAUGACUUUGAAGCCUAUUGUACACAACAAGGCAUCAGACAUCAACGACACCAGCUUAUACACCACAGCUGAAUGGUGUAGCAGAAAGGAAGAAUCGCACGAUUCUUGACAUGGCAGAAGUCUGCUCAAAGCAAAGAAGUUGCCCAAGCAAUACUGGGCUGAAGCUGUAUCAUGUGCAGUGUAUCUGUUGAAUCGCUGCCCAACCAGAAGUUUGCAAGGAGUCACUCCAGAAGAAGCAUGGAGUGGUCACAAACCAAGUGUUACUCAUCUACGAGUCUUUGGUUGUGUGGCAUAUGCAAAGAUCCCAGAUGCAAGAAGGAGAAAGCUCGAUGAUAAGAGCGAGAAAUGCAUCUUUGUCGGAUAUGGUGAAAGAAGGAUGGGAUACAGGCUGUAUAAUCCCAUCACGAAGAAGGUGAUUACGAGUAGAGAUGUUAUCUUUGAAGAAGAUAAAUCUUGGGCAUGGAAUGAUGAUCAAGAAGCAGUCAGAUGGAUCAACACUGAUUUGAUCCUUGAAGGUGAAGAAGUACCAACAGUACUUGUAGAAGAACCGAUUGUGCCAGCAGCUGAACCACAAAGUCCAGUAUUUAUACCAGCAGCUAAACCACAAAGUCCGGUACACAGAUUCCCUGUAUUCAACAGGAGGAACACACCAGGAGCAUCAUCAUCAACACCACCAUCAGCAUCCUCAUCAGAAAGACCAAGAAGGAUACGGAAUCUUGAAGAGUUGUACGAUACCACUCAGGUCAUGAAAGAUACAACUCUGUUUUGUUUUCAUGCAGAUAGUGACCCAUUAAGCUUCAAUAAAGCUGUCACAGAAAAGAAAUGGAUUAAAGCAAUGGAUGAAGAAAUACAUGCCAUUGAGAAGAAAGAUACCUGGAAGCUGACUUAUCCACCAGAAAAGAAGAAAGCAAUAGGUGUCAAAUGGGUCUACAAGACGAAAGCCAAAUUAGUGGAUAAAGCCUAUAAGCAGAGAGAAGGCAUUGAAAGGAGAAGUGUUCAUGCUUGUCAUGACAUCCCUCGAUUGAGUUUAAAGGGGAGAUUUGUUGAAUAAACUCAAUCCAGAAGCUCCCAGAUGGUCAAGGAAGGCAACCACCAGCUGCCACCGACCAGCCACCAACCGACCAACCACCAACCGCAGCCACCAGCUGCCACAGCCGCCAGCCGCCUUCACACUUGAAGGUUGAAUUUUCUUGUUUUGAUUUCAUGUAUAAAUAGAGUGCCCAGCCUCUGUUAAAUUGUGUGGAGAGAAUUGAGAGGAACACUAGAAAGAGAAAGAGAGAGAGAGGGCGUGUAAUUGUUAAGCUUUUGUUGUGUAAUUGUAAGCUUCGGUUUUUUGUAAUAAAACAGUGUGUUUUAUCCCCUCUGAGUAUUUCAAAGCCACCACCAGUGGUUCCUCCCACCAACACAUAUGAGUUAUUUGCAGAUGAUAAUUUUAGUGUUAUUCCUAAUCAUUUUUUUUGAUAAUUAAUGCUAAACGAUUUUGAGGUGGUUUGAAUUGAGAUCUAAAGGUUAAUUUUUUUUAAAUAUUCACUAGUUGACAUCAACCUAGAUGAUGAAUUUACAGUAGGAAUAACAAAUGUGAUAAAUAGUGUCGCACCCAAAAACUUUCAACGCGCGGCAUCGGCUGGCGAUUUAAAUCUCGUUUAUUGCGUUUGCUUGAAUUUGGUUCGUUGGAGUCGCCACCUAGUAAUUGAUUUCGGGCUACUAGGAAACCGGAUGUACUGGUCUUGUCAGAGAUUCGCGGGUAAGGGACUGGUUGUGGUUAGGGAAGGUAUUAGCACCUCUAACGCACCUACCUGAGGUAAGCUGCUUCGUGGCUUUGACGUGUUAAAGAAGUUUUAAUAAUUGUCUUUUUUCUUCGGAUUAGAAAUAUCACUUACGUAUAAGUUAAUAAUUCUUAACCGUGAUCCGAUCAAAUAUAAAUUCUUCUUUAAUAUAUUUGCAAUUUUAUCAUUAAAAAUAUGUACAAAUAAAUAAAACAAAAUACAAGCACACACAUACACUUUUAUUUUAUUUUUGUUUCUUUUCUUUUCGUUUUCUUUUCUUUUCUUUUACAUCCAUAUUUACAAAAUACAAAUUACAAAACAAAAAAAAAAUCAAAACUAAACAAAUUACAUUAAAAACACAUUAAAAUUACAAAACAAUCCCUAAAAUUCAGGAAAAACAACUCUGGGAAACAACUCAAGCCCGAAUGAACAGUAGCGGCGCGUCUUCCCACGCGCCGCCACUGGAAAACAUGGCAAACCAGGGGUGUAUGGAGCGCCUUCCUCCCCCGUUCAUUUUUCUGCCGGCGGUGAGGAUCCGGUCACCUGCAAACACAAGAGAAAUACACAAAGAGCAGUCGGUUUUAGUUUUUUAGAUCUGUUUUUAAUUUUCUUCUGCCCGUUUCGGAUCUGCUCAAUUCGUUCUCUUUCUGGUGGUUAUUCCUUCGUUCUUCAGAUGGCGGAGUGCUGGGUGGCUCGCCGGCGCGUGCUGCGGCUGAAGAGGGGAUCGUGGAUCUACCACCGGUUUGAAGGAGAUGAUGAGAGUGUUGGCCCGCGCGGGAUCUGUUCGGCCAUCGCUGCUGUUGCUACCCAAUUUUUGACCCAUGUUUUUUUAUAUAUUUUCAAAAAAUCCAAAAAAAACAUUAAGAAAAAUUUGAAAAUUUAAAAAUAUUUUUUUCUCUCUCGAGUCAACCGCAUCUCUUCACUCAAACCAUGUCGACCAGGGUAAAAAAUGAGUUUCGGGCUGUUUCGGGUGAAAAACAUCAUUUUCAACCAAAAUCGGGUUCACCGGGUCAAUACGGGUCAUACCAUGUUGACCAGGGUAAAAAAUGAGUUUCGGGUCAAAAAUAUCAUUUUCGACCAAAACCGAGUUCACCGGGUCAAUACGGGUCAUACCAUGUCGACCAGGGUAAAAAAUGAGUUUCGGGUUGUCUUGGGUCAAAACCGUCAUUUUCGACCAAAACCCGGUUCAUCGGGUCGAUACCCAUCAAAUGUUUUUUUUGGUAUUUCAUUUUUUGGCGGUUGAAACGAGAUUUUUCUAAUACUGAUUUGAAUUUUUAGUUUUACCCAUGUAAAUAUUUAUUAUUAUAUAUAAUAAAACAAAAUUAUGGUAGUUGUGUGCAAUAUUUAUUAUUAUAUAUAAUAAAACAAAAUUAUGGUAGUUGUGUGCAAUAUUUAUUAUUAUAUAUAAUAAAACAAAAUUAUGGUAGUUGUGUGCAUUAUUUCUUAUUAUAUAUAAUAAAAUAGAAUUUAAUGGUUGUUGUCCCGUGGCUAUAAAUAGCCACGAGAGGGGGGCAGAAUAAAAGAGAGAAAAAAAAGAGAGGAAGAGAAAAGAAAAAGAAAAGAAAGAAUCGAUUGAUACUAUUCCUAAUUUUUUUAGUUUUUCUUCAGGAGAGUAGGAUAUUGUCUUUUAAAAAAAACAAUUUAAAAAAUACCAAACAUAUCCCAACACAUCUCAGCCGUUAAUAUAUUCCAGGAUUUAAUCCUGUUGCGCCACGUCAUCCGGUGCACCGAGCUUUCGGUGCACCGCGCCACACAAAAUCAAAAACCAGACAAUCUGGGCCGUCCGAUCAACCUGCUGAUCUAGCCAAUCCCAGCCAUCCGAUCGUUUCAUCCAAGAUCCAACGGUUAACAUCCUUCAGCGGCACCGGUACACCAUACACGCGUCCGCACCGUAGCAAAUCUCGGAGCAUCUCUCUCCUCUCGCCGGCGACUCUCUCUCUCUCCUCAGAUCUCCACUUUCCGGCCAUAUAAAGUCUCCGAACCACCACAGAAAGGUUCCUCACAUGCCGUAAAGUAAAACCCCGGUGGUUUUCAUCGUUUUCACCGCCUCAUCUGGCCGGAAAAAGGCCGCGAUCGUCGCCGGCCACCGAAGCUUCAAGUCGUCGAUUCUCCCUCGUCAGCCAUCAACGGCCGUCGAGACCACCACCAACAGAAUCCUUGACCUCAGAUCUACCAGAACCGACCAUCGGUGGGCCAGAAAUCUCGCCGGAAAAUUUCGCCAUCGUCAACAGUGACAGCGCGUGAGACACACGCGCCGCCAGUGGCAUUUUCGUAAUUUUUCAAGAAAUCCGAGGGUAUUUCAGUCUUUUACCUAUACUGUGUCACUCAUGUAAUUUUUUUUUUGAUUGCUAAUUUUUUUUUAUUUUGUAUAUAAAUUUUCUUGCAUGUUGUAAAACAAAAAAUAAACACAAAAAAAGAAUAACAACGCGGGUCCAACACCCAUCCUAUUAUGUCAUCAUUCGUGGGUCCAAAGCCCAAUUUUUAAAUAUAGUUAUAGCCAUAUCUCAACGAUAUUAAAAUAUUUGUUUUUAUAAACAAAUAUUGUUUGUCGACACGUCUCUUUUUAUAAAAAGGACCGAUGUCAAAUAAAAAAGUUUAAAUACCAAACAAAUAUGGAUUAUGUCCAUAAUUUUGUUUUUUGGUAACUCAGACGUACUUCUCCUUUUUAGGGUUAAACGUCAAUAUUUUAGACAAGUCUCCUAUUUUUAGGGACUGAUGUCAUUUUUAACGUGUCUCCUAUUUUUUUUAGGGACCGACGUUAACCAUAAAAAAAAUAAUAAAAUUGCAAAUAAACUCAAAAUAUAAUAUCAUUUGAAACAAAUAAAAAAACACACAAGUAAGGGUAACCUUUCUUUUGAAAGGAUGUUUUAAGGGUGGUGUCUACCUUCCCUUAAUCAUAACUAACCCAGUACCCGAAUCUCUGGGACCAGUGUCUAAUUUGGGAUUUCUAGUUCCCUCAAAUUACUAGAUGGCGACUCCAAUAAAUUUUUCAUUUCCCCCAAUUAAACAAAUCUUUUUUGUUAAAUAAACAAAAAUGAGCGGAGCCGUCGCCCGACGUCGUGUAUCGACAGUUGCUGUGGAAGGAAAUCGACGGAGGAGCAGCCGUGGCUGAGGAGAUCGCCUACAGAUCGGUGGCUUGGUGGUCUGUCGGUGUCCGGAGGGAAGUCCUUGGUCGCUGCCUAGAGGCCGAAUGGAGAGGAGAGUGAACAGCGGUUGAUGGCUCCGGGUGAGGCUGGUUCGGUGGUGCUGCCCGUUGCAAGUGAGAGGGUGAGGUUUUUUUGGCUUGGGAAAUUGCCGGCUAUGGAGAUGGAAAUGAGGGGGGAACGAAGUGGCUGGGUCCGAAAAAAUCAAAGCCAAGGGGAAAGAGCUGAUGAGCGGGGGAAGCGACCGAGGAAGAAUGAAAAAAAUUCGAAGGGCUGGGGGACGGCGGCGUUUCUUUUUUUUGUGCAGGGAGAGGGGAAGGUCUCGGUGACCGGUUUCUGGUUAAGGUGAAAAAUAUGGGGGAACAGCGUGGGUAGAAGCUGAGGGAAGGGCUGUUUGGCUUUGGUUUGUGGCCGGCGGCUGUAAAAAAAAAAAAUAAUAACCAGGGGGAAAGGGGGGCUGCAGGCUUGGUAGAGAUAGGUUUAGGGUUAGGUUAUUUUUUGUAUUUUCUGAUAUUUCAAAAUUGCCCCCCUCCUUUGUGUGAGUUAAAGACCAGUAUUUAUAGGCAAAAAUGUUGCCAAGUUUUUCAACUUGGUCCCUCAACUUCUUUCUUUUUGUAAAUUUUGAUUUUUCUUAUUUUUUUGUAUUUUUUGAAAACAAGAAAUAUCAACGUCGACUCAAAUGCGGAAAAUCAAUGAUUUUAAAAAUGACGCGUGAAAAAUCGAACGCGUUUGAAAAUAUUUUAACAAUUUAAAUUCUUUUUUAGACGACGUUGAAAAUACUAAAAUGACGAAAAUAUAUUAAAAAACAUAUUUUUUGGAUUUUCUUUGUUUUUCUCAAUUUUUUGGAUUUUUGAAAAUAUAUCAAAACAUGGGUCAAAAAUUGGGUAGCAACAGAUGCCCCCUCUUUACAAUGCUUACGAAGCAAAACUCCUCAAAAUUUUGCAUAGUAAGCUUUGUACAGAAAACAAAAGGAAAAUAAUUUUAUUAUCUUGGGCAACCUGACUACACAUACUCACUCUAGUCUAUUUUCACGGGCGACCGACCCACACUCUCCCAAUAGUCUAUUUUCACGGGCGACCUGCCCACACAUUGGGUUUACCUGAGAUCCCAUCUGGCGACCUCAUUCAACUGGAACGAAAAUAUUGUGUAACUCGGUUAACCUGAAAUCCCAUCUGGCGAUUCCCUUUAACCAAAGCUACCCGAGAUCCCAUCUGGCGACCUCAUUUAACCAAAACAAAAGAAUGUGAAAAAUGGUCUCAUUGUAUGGGUGACAAACCCAAGAAAAAAAUGAUGGUCUCAUUGUAUGGGUGACGAACCCCAGAAAAAUGUUGGUCUCAUUGUAUGGGUGACGAACCCCAGAAAUAUGAUGGUCUCAUUGUAUGGGUGACGAACCCCAGAAAUAUGAUGGUCUCAUUGUAUGGGUGACGAACCCCAGAAAAAUGAUGGUCUCAUUGUAUGGGUGACGAACCCAGGAAAAAUGAUGGUCUCAUUGUAUGGGUGACGAACCCAGAUGGAAAAAAAUGUGAAGUGUGGUCGCAUUGUAAUGGGUGACCUACCCACGUGGAAAAAAUAUGAAGUGUGGUCUCAUUGUAAUGGGUGACCUACCCAGAUAAAAAAGAAUAUGAAGUGCGGUCUCAUUGUAAUGGGUGACCUACCCAAAAAUGGAAAAAUAUGAAGUGUGGUCUCAUUGUAAUGGGUGACCUACCCAGAUGGAAAAAAUAUGAUGAAGUGGUCUCGUUGUGAUGGGCGACCUACCCAGAUAGAAAGAAUGUGAAGUGCGGUCUCAUUGUAAUGGGUGACCUACCCAGAUGGAAAAAAUAUGAUGAACGGUCUUAUUAUGAUGGGCGACCUACCCAGAUGGAAAAAAUGUGAUAUGACAAGUGUGAAAAAUAGGACUUACCUGGCGAAAUCCUGAGGGGAUGACAGAAGAAGGGCUGGAAAACUUGGUGCUUCCUGAUAAUUCCCGAUCAUAGGGUUUGAAAACUCGGUGUUUCCUGACUGCAAGGGUUGAAAACUCGAGGCUUCCCGAUUGCAAGGUUGAUCUUUCCAUUUCUUUGGGAUUUUCCUAAUGGUAGGGUUCAUCCCAUCGUCCUUUUAUUCGAUGAUCAAAACCGAUUCUUUAUUAUCAUCACCACAAUGCUUCUUUCUCUUUCCACCAUCUUGCUGGACCUCAUUAAGGAUUUUCCUGUAACAAUUCAAAAAUAUGUGCAAAUGGUUUUUUUUUUUUUUUUUUUUUUUUUUUUGAGGUUAGAUGAUAUACAUGCAUCCUUACCUGUUUUGAAAUAAUAGGUCCCCCCUCUUUGAUGCUCCAUCGUCAUAGGGUGCCCUUAUUUGUAUCCCAAAGCUUUCUUUGUUCUUCCGAUGUAUUGGCUCAUUCAUGUGUUAGUCAUCCACUCAGCUGUAAAUGCAGUGCCCAUCCCGGGCUGUCUUCGACAAUUACUGCUUGCAUCGUUCAUGAAGCUUGACCCUCCCCCCAAGUGUAGUACUGCUUGAUUCAUCAUGAGCGAUUUUCUCUCCUGGCUUCUUCUGAGAAAUUAUCCUCUGAUUGAUUGUGUGCAUCAUGCCAACACCCAUCACGUUUGUUAAUCAGUCAUGAACUUGCCUUCGGUUGAAACACCAUUCAAGUAUGUAUGGUCACCAGCCUUCAUGGAACUGCCAAGUCAUCUAGACAUGUAUCUCAUACUUUGCAGUAAACAACUCAUCAUUGUAAGCGCGAUGUAUUUCUCUAUGGAUUCCUCUUAGCUUGUCAAAUCAGAUCAUGAAAAUACUUGCUUUGGCAUCAUUAAUGAUGUUCAUGUUAUCACCCAUAUUCAUGCGGUGAAGUGCGCAUUUGAGCUUCAGAAUAGAUGGUCCCAUAGUCAGUCUUGGUGGUGCAUCCUCCUUUCAGCCUUCAUGCACAUGCAACUGUGUGAUAACAUCGUUCAAAAGUCAUAACCAUGUUGAAGAUGAUAAACCAAGAUGAAGACAUGAAAAUAUCCUUCUAGUGCAUCGUUUCUCAUCAAUUGCUGCUGAAGUUCACUAAAUCAUGGAUUGUCUUUGAACAACAUUGCCCCUAGUUGAUCUGAACAUGCUCAUUCUUUUGUUUACAACCAAAUGGCUUUUGUGAAUGUCAGGAAGGACUUUGAUGGACUUUGAUGAUUCAUCAUGUGAUUCUUUCUUUGCCCCCAGCUGAUCUGGAUACUGUUUGCUUUCCCUCUUAAGGUCCACUGUAUUGCCCCCAGGUGGUCAACGUUUCAAAGAGUGUCGAGAAAUGUUGAUGUCAUUUUUUGUCAAGAAUUUUGCAAACUCAAUUGAUGUUCUUGUUUGAAAAUCUUUCUUGUUCUGGAAUCAAAUCUCAACAUUUCAACGAUCAUGUCUAUUCAAGUAUAAUUGUUGAAAUGAAAUCAAAGAGAUAUCAGUUUUUGAAAAGUUAUUUUUGAAAUUCGAGCUCCUUUGGUCAAAGACCCAACACACUAUUCACUGCAGUCCUUUGAUUGUCUUGUAUUUUGAAAACAGAAAUGACCCGUUGUAAGAUUAAAAUGACUUUUUCAUGGUUCUGUCCACUUUAAACUCUGAUUUUGGGUAUAUCUUUUGAUGGUAUGGUGAGGUGAUAUUUUUGUGAAUUUCAAAACAAGAUGCUCAGGCUUGAUAAAGAAAGGUUGUUUCUCUUCUAGUAUUUAUUUUAUCAGCAUGCAUAAUAACCAGUAGCUUAAUUCAUGAAGUCACGACCCUUAUAAAAACUCUUCAAGUUUUGAGAGCGCCAUUUAUGGUUCAAAUUGCUUGCUUGAUUAAAAAGGGCUUUUAAAAGCACGUAAUGCAGGCUAUGGUUCAUGGCUAUGAAAGAAAGGAAUUUCAAAGGCUCAAAAGGUGUUUGAGGGUUUCAAAGACCUAGGAUCAACAUCAACUAUUCAUCAACUCUUUCUAUUGUUGUCUUUGUAGGAAACGACAUAUAACCUUGUUAACCUCAAAGUUCAGAUUUCUUAACAUAGGUCAUAAUGCAAAUCCAACCUUUCCUUGAUGACUAACCAACCUUAAUCAUCUGAUAACAUCAAGAGCUUUAUAAUGGAUACCAAAAUUCAACGCUUAUAGCUUAGUCUUUUUCUGGUAUUGACUUUUGUUGUGCCUUUCCUUGAUUGAAAUUUCUUUUGCUCUUCAUAAACUUGAUAGGCGUUCUCCUUCCUUUAUCUUUGACUUGUAUUUAAGUGAAGGCAAUUUCAACUUCCUUUUUUUCAUUCUCUUUUUUUUUUCAUAGCCUUCCUCAAAAUUUUCUUAUAUGCCCCCAGUCUAUGUGUUUUCUUUUAGCUCUCUCUCAAUCAUUGGACCUUUGUUAUAAGCCUUCCCCUUUAUCCAUUAAUUAUAUCAAUGUCUCCAAAAUAUCUCUCAUUUGCCCCUAGUGUGGGGUGUGAUCCUAGUCAGGGUUUCUUUUUGAAAGAAAAUAUUUUACCAGGCUCAAAAUGGGACUGCAAGGGAUAUAAUCUUUAGAAAGUGAAGGGAUAUCAAAGAUGGCCUUUUCUCAUUUCAAGCAAGGUCGGUUAAACCGAUAAAUUUUGACCUCAUCCAGUGUAAUGAUUGGACUUGUAAGAGUCAUGAUUCACGAGUCCAUAACUAUUGAAUCCACUACAUGUCAUUAUGCAUACUGCUAAAACUUAGCUAUAUGAUGUGUGGUUCAGUUUCAAAAGGUAUGAGUUCAAAAUUGUUUGGUCACCUCAUGUCAUUUUCAAGCAUAGAGUCAUUUCUGUAAUCAAAACACUUUUAAUCUUCCGGAUUGAUUAACCUUUAUCGCAUGUUGGAGUUUGAUCAAAAUAUUUUGUCAGAAUAAAAUGUUAAACAUCUGUUGAUUUCAAAACAACAAAGAGACAAAAGCAAGGCAUGUUUCGUUGAAGGAUGAGAUGUGAUCCCAAAACAAAAUGCAGAAUUCCAAAACAAUAUGAUUGACUGUUCAUCACCAUUCUUGAAUCAGCUUUUCUGGCAAUAUCUGUGUUUUGCCAAGCAUUUUCGAUCACAUGUUUCUGAAGAUGUUCGGGGAACAAUAUAGCCAAUGACACCCUCUUCAACGACUCCACUUGUCUCUUGCUCACCAACUUUCAGACUCUUCUUGCAAUUCUUGAAACUGUUCACUUGAAAUGGUUGAGGACCCCACCAUGACAUCACAUCUCUUUCUGGAUUAACCACCUAGAAAUUGGUGGUUGCAUGGGAUUUGUCGGAGUCAAGCAAAAUUCUGGAAUCUGGCAGAUGCUGGUCGACAAACUUAAGUGGCAGAGGAAUGUCCCAUCUUGGCAAAGACAUUUGAGCAAUUGAUGCUACCGUGAGACCUGGCUAUACCACAUAAUUAAGGGUUCACACCGUCAAAGUCAUCUCCUGAUUCAUCUCAUCAUUGUUCUGGAAUCCAUGGCAGAUCCUUCAAUCUUUCUCUUCAUAGCUUGUUCAAUUUUCGGCAAAUCCUCACAACUUAUUUCAAUCUUCCAAUGUUGUGUUGGUUGAGGAUUGUUAGAAAACUUUCUAACAGCUUGGUAAUCUUGGCAGCGCCCAGAAACUUGUAGUAUCGCCACUACCGUGUGGAAUCACACAUUGUCUCUAUUGGAAGAGCACCUGAUGAAUCUAAAACUCCUUUGUCCCCUCUUCGAUUUCUCACUGACAGUGCAGCAAACAAACACCUAUAGAGGAAGUCCUGCUCUGUUGAAGUUUCAGUAUUCUUCAUGUUUUUCAGUCUAGGCAUGUCUCUUCUCUCUACUUUUGCUUUUAAUACUGACACUGUUGGAGGAAAAUCAUAGAUGAUCUGAAACUACUGUAUUCCUUCUUGGAUUUCCCACUUGCGGAUCCACAAACAGAUUCCUGCGAGAGAGCUCUACGUUGAAGUUUGAUGUCUGCUCGUAUUUUUCAGACCAGGUCUGGCUCUUCAACCUACUAAGAUGUCUUCGUGCUGAAACUGAUGAGAGAAAUAUUUGUAGCAUAUGCAACUUAUAAAUCCCCUCUUGCAUUCCCAAUUUGCAGAGCCAUAAAUGGAUUUUAUAGAGGAGCUCUGCCACAUUGAAGUUCAGUGUUAAUCAUGGUUUUUCAGACCAUCUUGUGCUGCUGAACUGGAAUUGAGCUCAUAAUGGGGUAACUUCAAAGCAGACUAAUGCACCAUGUACAUGAGGCUAGUGGUCGUUUGGUUCCAUUAGAUGAUGUGGAGGCGAUGAACACUUAACAGUGCAACUGGACAAGAAUCAGAGUUGUCAUUAGUUGAUGACUGAAGGCAUUGUUGUUUUGUUCAUGACGGAAAAGGAGAGAUACACUUCAAUUGGAUGAACAAGCAGUGUUCCCACAGAAACUGUGCAGACACUCUCUUUCCAUUUGAUGCUCAACACUUGUUCGAGCAGAUCUGAGUCGCUACUUCACCUUGAUGCUCUCAACCUAUAUCUGAGCCUCUUUGUUCACUUCCAUUCAUUUUUCUUCAAUCGUGCAGCACAGCUUGUAUGGGGACCUACUUUCACCCGGUACAUGCAUGAUAAAUGUAUGAACAUGUAAUCUAUAUGAUGAACUCACCCUUCGAGAGGUGACAAUAUGGUCGUAACUCUUGUAUGAUGGACAAGAAUCGUGAUUUUUGCCCAAACUCUACAAUGAAAAUUUUCGGAGCAACGGCCAAUGUGUCACCCACAAGUCUUGAGUUCAAGAUGCUUCAAGAAGGGUUUGCCCUUAUGCAAAAAACGAUAGCACAUACAACCUAAGGACAGGUUCUAUUCAUUAUGUGAACAUGGGUAGGUUUUCUAUCUGGUCUCAAAAGGGUCUCAUAUCUGCCCAGUGACGUUCUUCGUAAAGACAGUAUGGGGGCGUUGCAAGGAAUGGUUAAGGCACGUAUACCCACCAUUACCAAGCAGGCACUCAGAUAUGAGUUGGGUGUUUCACGCAUCUGAACCCUGACCAAUAGUCUUAGGGCAGAUCGCUAGUUCCCCACCUAACCUAGAAGCUUGUGUGUGCUUUCAAAAAUAAAUACAGGUGAUGCAUGAGACAAUUCUAUAAAAUGCAUGGAAAUAAAUAUUAACAAAAAAGAUAAAAAUGCAAAAACUUAAACACAUCAAAUACACAAAGCUUAGUCCAAAUCGAAAAAUACCUUCCCAGUGGAGUCGCCAUUCUGUCGCACCCCAAAAAAAUCAGCGCGCGGCAUCGGCUGGCGAUUUAAUCUCGUUUUUGCGUUUGCUUGAAUUUGGUUCGUUGGAGUCGCCACCUAGUAAUUGAUUUCGGGCUACUAGGAAACCGGAUGUACUGGUCUUGUCAGAGAUUCGCGGGUAAGGGACUGGUUGUGGUUAGGGAAGGUAUUAGCACCCCUAACGCACCCUACCUGAGGUAAGCUGCUUCGUGGCUUUGACGUGUUAAAGAAGUUUUAAUAAUUGUCUUUUCUUCAGAAAUUAGAAAUAUCACUUACGUAUAAGUUAAUAAUUCUUAACCGUGAUCCGAUCAAAAUAUUAAAUUCUUCUUUAAUAUAUUUGCAAUUUUAUCAUUAAAAAAUAUGUACAAAUAAAUAAAACAAAAAUACAAGCACACACAUACACUUUCACUAUUUUAUUUUUGUUUCUUUUCUUUUCUUUUUCUUUUCUUUUCUUUUACAUCCAUAUUUACAAAAUACAAAUUACAAAAACAAAAAAAAAAAUCAAAACUAAACAAAUUACAUUAAAAACACAUUAAAAUUACAAAACAAUCCCUAAAAUUCAGGAAAAACAACUCUGGGAAACAACUCAAGCCCGAAUGAACAGUAGCGGCGCGUCUUCCCACGCGCCACCGCUACUGGCGGCGCGUGGGUUCACGCGCCGCCACUGGAAAACAUGGCAAACCAGGGGUGUAUGGAGCGCCUUCCUCCCCCGUUCAUUUUUAUGCCGGCGGUGAGGAUCCGGUCACCUACAAACACAAGAGAAAUACACAAAGAGCAGUCGGUUUUAGUUUUUUAGAUCUGUUUUUAAUUUUCUUCUGCCCGUUUCGGAUCUGCUCAAUUCGUUCUCUUUCUGGUGGUUAUUCCUUCGUUCUUCAGAUGGCGGAGUGCUGGGUGGCUCGCCGGGCGUGCUGCGGCUGAAGAGGGGAUCGUGGAUCUACCACCGGUUGAAGGAGAUGAUGAGAGUGUUGGCCCCGCGCGGGAUCUGUUCGGCCAUCGCUGCUGUGGAAGGAAAUCGACGGAGGAGCAGCCGUGGCUGAGGAGAUCGCCUACAGAUCGGUGGCUUGGUGGUCUGUCGGUGUCCGGAGGGAAGUCCUUGGUCGCUGCCUAGAGGCCGAAUGGAGAGGAGAGUGAACAGCGGUUGAUGGCUCCGGGUGAGGCUGGUUCGGUGGUGCUGCCCGUUGCAAGUGAGAGGGUGAAGUUUUUUUGGCUUUGGAAAUUGCCGGCUAUGGAUGUUGCUACCCAAUUUUUGACCCAUGUUUUUGAUAUAUUUUCAAAAAAUCCAAAAAUAGAGAAAAACAAAGAAAAUCCAAAAAAUAUAUGUUUUUAAUAUAUUUUCGUCAUUUUAGCAUUUUCAACGUCGUUUAAAAUUUUUAAGGGUCUUUCGAAUGCGUUCGACUUUUCACGCGUCAUUUUCAAAAUAAUUGAUUUUCCGUAUUUGAGUCGACGUUGAUAUUGCUUGUUUUCAAAAAAAAAUACAAAAAAAACAAGAAAAAUCAAAUUUUACAAAAAAAGAAAGUUAAGGGACCAAUAUUGAAAACUUGUCAAUAUUUUUUGCCUAUAAAUACUGGUGUCCAACACUUGCAAAGGGGGGGCUAAUUUUGCAAUUAAAGAAGACAACCAAAAAACCCUAAGGGCUGAACAUUUUUUUCAUCUCCUGCACCCUAGGCAGCCGCCCCCCCUCCCCUGGAUUUUCUUCUCUGCGCCCUCAACUGCACAGCCGGCUCCCUCUUUUCCUUUCCUUUCCCCCUGCCCAGCACCAGCUCCCACAGCACCGUUUCCCUCCAGCUUCUUCACCCAAAACCAUCCUUCCAUCUCCAGUUUUCUGCUCACACAAGACAGCCCCUCACCUCCUCUCUCUUACUCCGAUCUUCACUCAUCAACUGGCCAUAGACCAACAACAGCCACGAAUUAGCUCCCCCUUCCACAGAUCCUCUCUCAGCUGCUCCCUUCUCCAGCCGCAGCGGCGCCUUCUUCAUCCGGCAGCACCCAGCAGAGCCUUCCUUCUCCAGCUCCUCCCUCAUAAAUCGCCCUCCACCAAGCUACACAGCAGCAGGCUCCUCCACACCGAAGCCCCGAACACAACAGCAGCAAAGGACAGCCCUCCUCCAGCCGUUCCCCCCAGCUUCAGCAGUGCCCACAGACCGGCCACCAGCAGCAGCAGCCGAUCUCCUUCACCGUCGUUUGCCAGCCUCCAGCACUCCUUGCUGCCAGUACAUGGAACAAGGGAGAAGAGGAUGAGCAGCAGCAGCUGAUCUGCUACGAAGCAGACCCAAAAGAGGCCGUGGCAGAUCUAAAAAGGGAGAGCCGGAAUUGGUUGUGUUGUUGGUUUUACUUUGCAGGUGACUGGGAGAUGCACUGCCGGUACGAACGAGAAGAGAAGAAGGAGACAAUCCCGAUCUACCAGCUUGCUGGUCUUCACCGGCGGUGGGCGUGAGGCCCACGCGCCGCCACUGUUCCCGCGCCCAGAAAACUUCCUUGACACUGUUCCGACUAUAGAGGGCUAUCCCUGUAAUUUCAGAUUGUUUUAGGGCUAAUUUUUGUAAUUGUAAAAAUUGUUUAAUGUUUUUUUUUGUUUAGUUGACUUUUUAUAAUUUGUAAUGUUGAUGUAACAAAAAAAGAAAGAGAAAGAAAAAAAAAGUAAUAAAAAGAAAGUGUGUGUUGUUUUUUUUAUUUAUUUAUGAAUUAUAAAAAAAAAAGGACGAAUUAAUUGUUAAUUUAAAUAUGGUUAAAUAUCAAGGACAAAUAAAAUCAAGUUGUAUUUUCUACGAAAAUGUAAGACAAGUUUCUACAUAUAUUCGGGAAUUCAAUAACUGAUUUAUUCAAGCCUUAGAAUUUAAUUAAUAUUGACAAAGAAUUGAUUUAAUUUAAAUAUGUUUAAAUAUCUCAAGGACAAAUAAAAUCAAGUUGUAUUUUCCAUGAAAAUGUAAGAACAAGUUUUUACAUAUAUUCGGGGAUUUAAUAACUGAUUUAUUCAAGCCUUAGAAUUUAAUUAAUAUUUUAAAUUUUCAAAUCACAUUAGAACACAAAGCAGCUUACCUAAGGUAGGGUGUGUUAGGGGUGCUAAUACCUUCCCUAACCACAACCAGUCCCUUACCCGCGAUCUCUGAUAAGACCAGUACAUCAGGUUUCCUAGUAGCCCUCAAUAAAUUACUAGGUGGCGACUCCAACGAACGAAUUCAAAAGAAAACGCAACAAACAAUGAAAAAUCGCCAGCCGACGCCGCGCGCAGGAUUUUUUUGGGGUGCGACAAUGGAGAUGGAAAUGAGGGGGGAACGAAGUGGCUGGGUCCGAAAAAAUCAAAGCCAAGGGGAAAGAGCUGAUGAGCGGGGGAAGCGACCGAGGAAGAAUGAAAAAAAUUCGAAGGGCUGGGGGACGGCGGCGUUUCUUUUUUUUGUGCAGGGAGAGGGGAAGGUCUCGGUGACCGGUUUCUGGUUAAGGUGAAAAAUAUGGGGGAACAGCGUGGGUAGAAGCUGAGGGAAGGGCUGUUUGGCUUUGGUUUGUGGCCGGCGGCUGUAAAAAAAAAAAAAAAACCAGGGGGAAAGGGGGGCUGCAGGCUUGGUUGAGAUAGGUUUAGGGUUAGGUUAUUUUUUGUAUUUUCUGAUAUUUCAAAAUUGCCCCCCUCCUUUGUGUGAGUUAAAGACCAGUAUUUAUAGGCAAAAAUGUUGCCAAGUUUUUCAACUUGGUCCCUCAACUUCUUUCUUUUUGUAAAUUUUGAUUUUUCUUAUUUUUUUGUAUUUUUUGAAAACGAGCAAUAUCAACGUCGACUCAAAUGCGGAAAAUCAAUGAUUUUAAAAAUGACGCGUGAAAAAUCGAACGCGUUUGAAAAUAUUUUAACAAUUUAAAUUCUUUUUUAGACGACGUUGAAAAUACUAAAAUGACGAAAAUAUAUUAAAAAACAUAUUUUUUGGAUUUUCUUUGUUUUUCUCAAUUUUUUGGAUUUUUGAAAAUAUAUCAAAACAUGGGUCAAAAAUUGGGUAGCAACAAAUAGCAUCCGCACAAGACUAGUUUCAUGGAAAGGUAAGUUCUAGCGAAAUGCAUUCACGGUGUUAUCAUAUGGAAUUUUAUGGGGGUAUUUGGACUGCAAGAAAUAAGCAUGUUCAAAGAUAAAAAGCUUGAUUGAAAUACAUUGUUUCAACUGAUACUCCAUCGUCUAGAACUUUCAUUAAAGGUCCGGAAUAAUAAUUUCUCAUACACGAAGAAUAAUUUGAUUUAAGGUCUCCAAGGCAUUUUAACAAGGUCUAAUAAGUGAUGAGUUCUUGUUUAUUAGUAGCAACUUCUUUGUAACUUCUUUUUAUGUUUUUCUCUAUAACUUCCUGUUUAUUAUAGCCUGAAUGAUAUGUAGUUUUAUCAAUAAUUAACUCGAUUGAUGAGUUGACGUCAUUCAUCAAACGCAAAUUAAGCUCUUAAUUAAUGAGAGGAAAAUGUAGGGUUGGAAAAAAGUUUGGAAGUGAUAAUCAGUACAUACCAAGCCAAAUAAGAUUGUCUCAGGUACUAAAUAGGAUUGUGUCCGGUGUAGUAAUAAAGUUUCUACCUUCUAUGGUAUAUAAAAUGUCUGACCACUUCAACAACAUGUCACGUAAAGAGUGCAUUAAUGUCAUUAUCCUAGAAAUUUUUCCCACACUUUAUUUAUUUUGCUAAACUUUAUAUACUAAAUUAUAAUCAACUCCUAGAUAUUUUACACGUAAAAUUAUAGACCUCGUCCACUUUGUGCCUCUAUAAAUAGCUUAACCUCGACCUUAUCUCCACACAUCACAAGAAAUUCCUUUCUCUCUUUGCAUAUCAAUAUCAAAACUCCCUUCAGGAGUAGCGAAAAUGAGAAGCAAUAUACUACUUACCAUUAUCUUAGCCAUAGUUCUUGCAGGAGCCCUGCCCAAGAAUGUGGUAGAGGCUCAGAAUUGUGGCUGUGCUGCAAACCUUUGUUGCAGUCAAUAUGGCUACUGUGGCACCGGCGAUCCCUAUUGUGGUCAGGGAUGUAAACAAGGGCCCUGUUAUUCAUCGCCUACGCCUACUACUCCUAGUGGGAGUGGUUCUGUUGCUGAUAUUGUUACGCCUGCUUUCUUCAAUGGUAUAAUCAACCAAGCUGCUGCAAGCUGUGCUGGGAAGAAUUUCUAUACAAGAAAUGCAUUUCUCAGU
rnacentral:lncRNA from 1 species